rnacentral:pre_miRNA from 1 species
GUUAUUGCGUCGAUCAAUGCAUUGAAAGUGACUACAUCGGGGCUCUGUGAUUAUACUUUUGCUCUCUCGCAAGGAGAAAAAAACAAAUUAAUCAGCCCCGGUUUAGUCACCUUCACUGCAUUAAUCAAUGCAUC